rnacentral:lncRNA from 1 species
GUCCCCAAAAUGAGGGGGGGUCCCCAAGGCCUAAAGGGUCCCCAAAAUGGAGAAGGUCCCCAAAAUGGGAGGGGUCACCAAGGUGGGGACGGUCUCCAAAAUGGGGGGUCCCAUUGGGGUCCCAUGGGUGGGAAGUCCCCAAACUGGGGGUCCCCUAAGUGGAGAAGGUCCCCAAAAUGGAGGGUCCCAUGAGGGGGCCCCCAAAUUGAGGACGGUUCCCAAAAUGGGGGUCCCAUGGGUGAUGUCCCCAAACUGGGGGGGUUCCCCAAAUUUGGGGAGGGGGUUCCAUGGAGGGUCCCCAAAAUGAGGGUCCCCAAAAUGGGGGUACCGUGGGUAGGAGAUCCCCGAAAUGGGGUCACCAAGGUGGAGAACGUCCCCAAAAUGGAGGGGUCACCGAGGUGGGGACGGUCUCCAAAAUGGGGGAUCCCAGAGGGGGUCCCAUGGGUGAGGUCACCAAAAUGGGGGGGUCACCAAGGUGGAGAAGGUCCCCAGAAUGGGGGGGGGUCCCAUGAAGGGGUUUCCCAAAACGGGGGUGUCCCAAAAUGGCCCCCCAAGUCCUGGGGGGUCCCCAAGGUGGAGAAAGUCCCCAAAAUGGGAGAUUCCAUUGAAGGUCCCCAAAAUGGGAGAUCCCAUUGAAGGUCCCCAAAAUGGGGGAGUCCAUUGAAGGUCCCCAAACUGGGGGGGUCCCCAAAGUGGGGGGGGGGUCCCCAAAUUAGGGUGGGGGUCCCCAAAUUAGGGUAUGGGGGGUUCCCCAAACUGGGGGUGGUGGGGCCAACCCAGCGCUACCUCCCAGCUCUGCUCACUGCCAGGGGACCCCCCAAUUUUCCUCCUCGGCUUAAUUAAGUUUUAAUUAAUUCUUAAUUAAUUCCUGGGGCUCACUCAUUAAUUUUUAAAUCAUUUUUUUCCCUUCCUCCUUUGAUUCCUGGCGGGUUUUUUUGGGGUUUAUUUUUUUUUUUUAAAGCCUCGAGGUUUUUAUUUAUUAUUAUUAAUUAAAUAAAAAAAAUUAAAAUUAAUGGAUAAAAAAAUAU